AAAAUAAAUAAAAACCCUAAAAAAAUUUUAGAGUUGUACACCUCCCUCCCCACCCUCUGCUCUUACCACUUCACCAUUCUCCCUUUCUUUUUCCCUUCUUCAUCUAUUCCCCAUUCAUUGUUAUUUCAUCGAUAAUCAAAGAAACCGAGUUCUCUCCCAAUUUCUCUCUUUUUGUACUAUCCCCCAAUUUUCCCUAUGGAUUUGAGCACCAAGACUUCA
rnacentral:misc_RNA from 1 species